UAUUUUAACCAUCUAGAAGGUGCUGAAACGUUGGCAGCAAUGCGGGGCAUUUAUCGAAGCCCCGCCAAGCUCGAAAACGCGCCCAAAUAGUCCGAAACAUGCCCAAAACGUGAGGAGUUUAAUGGGUUGUGACGUUGAGCGUCACAAUGUGGUUGUAAAAAUAGUGACUUAAGAUUAAUGAUGUAUGUUUUGUAAGAAUUAUGUAUAAGGUUGGGUUGUAAAUCAUGUUUAGCACUAGACAUUAAGUUUGAACAAUUGAUGU
rnacentral:lncRNA from 1 species